UACGUAGGGGGCAAGCGUUGUCCGGAUUCAUUGGGCGUAAAGAGCGUGUAGGCGGCCAGGUAGGUCGGUUGUGAAAACUGGAGGCUCAACCUUCAGACGUCGACCGAAACCAUCUGGCUAGAGUCCGGGAGAGGAGAGUGGAAUUCCUGGUGUAGCGGUGAAAUGCGCAGAUAUCGGGAGGAACACCAAUUGCGAAGGCAGCUCGCUGGGACGUCACUGACGCUGAGACGCGAAAGCGUGGGGAGCAAACAGG
rnacentral:rRNA from 1 species